rnacentral:misc_RNA from 1 species
GAUCUAGUACCCAAAAGCGAGGAGAGCCAAAUUUGCAUAGCUGUAGGACAUGUGAAGGACAAGUGUCUAUGUGAUUCCACCUCCCCACAGAAGUCACAAAGGUGAGGAAUAUGAUGUACUCAUCCAUGGAGAAGUUCUUUGACUGGUAGGCGUUCUUUAAGAAAACUCCGUAAGAAAAUGGAGAGCUUUCUUGGUCGAUUGAGCUUCCAUACUGAUUUCCAGAAUUUUGAUAAAUUAAUCUGCGCUGAAGGACCUAGCCCUGCCCCCUGAUUUUCUCGGCUACACUUCAAGAGAUCAAUUGCCAUCUGAUAUCCAGAUUUUGGGGAAUAUACACCAUUCUGAGCAAAGUGCCAAAUAAGCU